ACUUCCGUAGGAUAACAGCCUUCCGUCGGCUUUAGGAGCCGAAACUUCCUGGUGCAAGCCCAGGCGGUAGUU
rnacentral:tRNA from 1 species